UACGGAGGGGGCUAGCGUUGUUCGGAAUUACUGGGCGUAAAGCGCACGUAGGCGGCUUUGUAAGUUAGAGGUGAAAGCCCGGGGCUCAACUCCGGAAUUGCCUUUGAGACUGCAUCGCUAGAAUUGUGGAGAGGUAAGUGGAAUUCCGAGUGUAGAGGUGAAAUUCGUAGAUAUUCGGAGGAACACCGAUGGCGAAGGCAAUCCCCUGGACCUGUACUGACGCUCAUGCACGAAAGCGUGGGGAGCAAACAGG
rnacentral:rRNA from 1 species